CUACGGGCUGCAGCAGGCGCGAAACCUUUACAAUGUACGUAAGUGCGAUAAGGGAACUCCCAGUGCUCAUGUAAUGCAUGGGCUUUUGUUAAGUGUAAAUAGCUUGGCGAAUAAGUGGUGGGUAAGACGGGUGCCAGCCGCCGCGGUAACACCUGCGCCACGAGUGGCAUUCACGUUUACUGGGCCUAAAGCGUUCGUAGCCGGAUAGAUAAGUCUUAAGUGAAAUCGUUGCGCUUAACAAAACGACGUGCUUAAGAUACUGUUUAUCUAGGGACCGGGAGGAGUUAGGGGUAUUCCAGAGGGAGCGGUAAAAUGCUGUAAUCUCUGGAGGACCACCUGUGGCGAAGGCGCCUAACUAGAACGGGUCCGACGGUGAGGAACGAAAGCCAGGGGAGCAAAACGGAUUAGAUACCCUCGUAGUC
rnacentral:rRNA from 1 species